rnacentral:lncRNA from 1 species
GAUAAGGCUGAUUCAUCAAAUAGUUUUCCACUAAUUAUGGGAGGAAAAUGAAAAUUUUCUAAAUCGGACGGUUUACAUUGUUUCGAAAUAUCGGACGUCUCAGAUUGGCUAAAGAUCUUAGAUGUAAGGGUGGUGGAGAUUAAGAUGUGGUUGGUUCAGUCAUAUGACACUAGCAUCUCUGUCUUUCCUGCCACUCUCCCUCAUUCUCAUUUGCAGAGAGAGAAGGAACAGAGGAUUCAGAUUUUAGUGAGAUAAAGUGUUAGGGAGAGAAUCCAAUCUGAUAGUGUUAGAGAGAGAGGACUUAGAGAGAGAGAGUGUAAUCUGACAGUGCUAGAGAGAGAGAGAGAGAGAGAG